rnacentral:guide_RNA from 1 species
GUAAACGAGAAUAUAGAUUGACGUAGAGAUAUAGUAAUAU